rnacentral:rRNA from 1 species
CAAAAGCGUAUAUUAAAGUUGUUGCAGUUAAAAAGCUCGUAGUUGAACCUUGGGCUUGGCUGGCCGGUCCAUCUUUUUUGAUGCGUACUGGACCCAGCCGAGCCUUUCCUUCUGGCUAGCCUUUUGGCGAACCAGGACUUUUACUUUGAAAAAAUUAGAGUGUUCAAAGCAGGCCUUUGCUCGAAUAUAUUAGCAUGGAAUAAUAGAAUAGGACGUUAUGGUUCUAUUUUGUUGGUUUCUAGGACCAUCGUAAUGAUCAAUAGGGACGGUCGGGGGUAUCAGUAUUCAGUUGUCAGAGGUGAAAUUCUUGGAUUUACUGAAGACUAACUACUGCGAAAGCAUUUACCAAGGACGUUUUCAUUAA